UUUGAGAGAAACCCUUCUGAUAAAAACAGGAGAUUUCGGGGUUUGGGUGGUUUAAGAGGGAAACAUGUGUCCCAUAAUGUCUGUUUGUGUUCAUGUUUGCGGGUUCUUCUUCUAUGAUUCGGCAUUCUAAGGAAAUUCUUGAGAUGGAUUUUGGGUUUGAGUACCGGCGGGAAAAAAUGGGGGGUAUUAGUGGAGGCUUGGGUUUGAAAGUAGAGAGUUUUCUGCAGCACAUAGCCAGGUUUAACUACUUGUUUUGCCCCGGAGAGAGGCUGAGAAAAAGCAGUGUAUGCUCGUACGAGCUCCUACAACCUUGAUGGUAACAUUCACCAUAAUAUACUAACGAUAUUUUCUAUAUUGAUACAGAGUCAUCCAUUUACCAUAAAAGUUAGAUCUUAGUAAAAC
rnacentral:lncRNA from 1 species